CUCAGGGAGGUAGUGACAAGAAAUAACAACACUGGAAAUUUUAUUUCUAGUGAUUGGAAUGAUGGGAAUUUAAACCCCUUUCAGAGUAACAAUUGGAGGGCAAGUCUGGUGCCAGCAGCCGCGGUAAUUCCAGCUCCAAUAGCGUAUAUUAAAGUUGUUGCAGUUAAAAAGCUCGUAGUUGGAUGUCUGCUGGAAGCAAUCAGCCCGCCCUAUUUGUGGGGUGUGCAUUUGAUGAAUUCUGGCAUUUUUGUCCCAAUAUUAUGAUGUAGAAUGUGGGACACAGAGUGUUAUUGGGCGAAAGUUCAAUAGCAUGUCUGUGUUCCGAUUCUUAUUAUAUUGGGAUACUGUUACUUUGAGAAAAUUAGAGUGUUUGAAGCAGGCUUUGAAUUGCCUUGAAUACUGCAGCAUGGAAUAACAAUAUAGGAUUUCGGUUCUAUUUUGUUGGUUUCUAGGACUGAAAUAAUGAUUAAUAGGGACAGUUGGGGGCAUUCGUAUUUAACUGCCAGAGGUGAAAUUCUUAGAUUUGUUAAAGACGAACUACUGCGAAAGCAUUUGCCAAAGAUGUUUUCAUUAAUCAAGAACGAAAGUUAGGGGCUCGAAGACGAUCAGAUACCGUCGUAGUCUUAACCAUAAACUAUGCCGACUAGAGAUAGGAAAAUAUCAUUUUGCUGACUU
rnacentral:rRNA from 1 species